GCUUCCCCCUUGGCCUUCUUGGAGAGAAAUCAACUGUGGCUGCUGCUAGCUAUUAAUAUCCCUGACUUUGAGCAUCAGGUAAUAAGGAGAAGCCCUAGAGGGUAGAGCAACAACAACAAAACCCAGAAAAGAAACCUAUACUGAGGAUGGUGACUGUUGAAAAGAAAAGUAAGGAAAGUUUAUCUUUCUCUGGAGAUAACUUACCUUCAAAUCAAGAUCCAGGUUGCAGCCAGGAGACAAGUCCCUGGAGACCUGGACCCCACCAGAGAUGAGGGAUUAUGCUGUGACAUCGGUGGUGUGCCUGGAGAGCUGUUGGAGGAGAAUCCCAUGUUCCUGCUGCAUUGCUGGGUGUCAUAAAGAUGGUGCACAGAGCAGUCCCUCUGUGCCCAGCUCCCUGCAGAGCUAGAGAAGAAAAUGAGAGUCCAAGGAAAUGAAGAAACCUGGCAAGUCACCAUACAGUGAGAGGCAGAGGUGGGCUGAGAACAAGAGUGAUAAUCUGCUCUUUGAUCUACUGCAUCCUGCCGCAUUAGAAGUGCCUUUUGUACAUUAGUGCAGAAGAAAUCAGCUUCAAUUUGUUCCCCUAAGAACAGCUGCAAACCUGAAAAUACCCCCAAAGGCCUCUGGAAGUGAGCAGUGGUUCACUCUGGGAAGAUUCUCACUUUGAAAACGACAGAAGAAAAGAGGAAACCGACUGUUCCCUUGGACAACUGCACACCCAGCAAUGCAGACCUCUGAGGGCUGAAGAAGGUGGCCAACAAGCAGUCCAGACCCAGAAGCCUGGAGAAGUGGAUCCCCAAGAAUGAAGAGUAGGGACUCGGGGAACCCCAAAGACAACUAAGAAGAAGUUUGAUCACUCCAAAGAGAAGAGCAGCAGAUAGGGACAAUAUCAGCUGCCUUACCCCAGACACCUCAGGACCUCUGAGGGCCUGUGCAUGGUAUUAACACAAGGGUCCUCCUCCUGUACCUACCCUUUUGACUGUAAGGAGUUGACACCUCUGUGUAUCAGCUCCUCAAUCUUCCCUCAGUCAACCGUGUACCUGCUCCACCAUGGCUAUUGCUCCUCAUUACUUUGCCCACUUGCAUACCACCAGGGGCUUUUCAUCCCAACUUUUAUAUCACAGAUGGUUUACUUACACUGCCAUCUCACAACACUCUACCUCUUUCCAUGUUUGGUUUGAAUUUCUGAGUAUCCUAUUUGUCCAACUUGACUUUUGAAGCCAAACUACGGGCCAAGACUCAUUGACCAGCUUGUAGACUGGCUACUUUUGGGACAGGUGCCCAUUUUGAUUCCACCAAUUAUAAGUGGGUUUGGGAAAGACAUGUGAUUCAAAACAGGGCUACUCUAGAGCUUCCCAUUAGCAGAAAUUGUGGUAAGCAAUAUAUAUAUAAUAUAUGUUUAGUGAGACCCUGAACCAUCUAGGAGUAUCAAUUUGGUUUAAUAUUCUUGGCUUAAUAAAAAGCAGGAAAAUCUGAUAUGAUUUCCAAUGAAAACUUUUACCUCUUAAAAUAAUAACUUUAAAUCAUGUGGAAAGUUCAUGUGAGUACCAUACAACAGAGAGGCAAUUAACUAUUCUUUCUCAGAUGAUACGGAGGAUUUGUAAAUAUUUUUUCAUCUUCCUGGAGUGUUAAAGUGGCUAUUGGGAUGUUAUGUUCAGUCAGUUUUCUGUUGAAUACAGCUAGCUCUCUUUUGCUAUUGGAAAGUAUUCCUACCAAUACUCUCUAAUCCAUUUAUCCCAGAGCUUGCCACAACCACAGGAAACAUGAGCCAUGUCUUUCUUAGGUCUUUUAUGUGUUGGAGUUUAAGCAUCAGGUCUAAGUGCUGACUCUAAAAAUUCUCACGACGUAGCUAAAAAAAAAAAAUACACAUUGGUCCCUGGGCAAAAUGGUAAACAGAUGUCUCUUCACCCCUACAUAAUGAUAUCAUAUUCUUACUAAAAACAUGGCCAUAGUCUAAAAUCCAAUGAGAAUGAAGUUAGUAUAAACCAUUAGCAAUUUCCCUAAUCAGAGUACAUUUCUCCUGCCCCUCUGACAAACCACACCCACUUGUCCUUCCAAGUCCAGCUAAACAAAAUUUCUUGUUUUGAAAUUCCUGAGAUAAUGGCUGGAAGAAGGACAGAAGGGCAAAAUCCUAGGAAGUAGUUUGGGUAACUAGGAAAGGUUCCUGCAGGCAAGAAUAAAGAGAGAUUGCAGGGGAAAAGGCAGUUCAUAUCAGGAAGAAGCCUUAGUUUAGUGGCUAGAAUUACCCCCAGGAGUAGCUACUUUAGCAGGAUCAGUCUUAGAUGCUACAAUGAGGGAAGAAAAGAACAUCUCACUUCCAGGCCAGUGAAAGGUGUUGGGGACAGGGCAGAGAGAUACUGGUCUGGAAUCCAAAAUCAGGGUUGGAACAACAGAAAGAAUAAUGGGAUCUGAGCCAGCAUUCUGGCCAAGGGCAAGGCCAGACAGGUGCAAUGUAUGAAGUUUGAAAUAGGGUAGAAAGAACCAAGGGGCCAGGUAACUUGGAACUUUUCCAAGUUCAGAAAAGAGAAGGACAAAAAAAAUCAAGAUUUUAACUGACCUAUAUUCUCUGCACUCUUGGAAGUUCUUAAUAUGCAAUUAUCAUACAGUUUAGCAUUCACCUGUUCUUACCUUCUCUCCUAAUGUUACGGGUCUGUGAGGUGUCCCCCAAAAUUUCAUGUGUGAGACAAAGGUUUAGAGGAGUAAUUAUUGAAUUAUGAGAGCCCUUGUGACUUAAUCCCCUCAUGGAAUUACUGAGUGGUAACUGAAGGCAGGCAGGGUGUGGCUGGAGGAGGUGGGUUAUUGGGAGGGUGUCUUUGGGGUAUAUACUUUGCAUCUGGCAAAUGAGUCUCUCUCUCUCUCUCUCUCUGUCUCUCUCUCUCUGCUUUCUGAUCAUCAUGUGAGCUGCUUGCCUCUGCCAUACCCUUCCUCCAUGAUGUUCUGCCUCACCUCAAACCCCAAGGAAUGGAGCCUGUUGUCUAUGGAGAGAGACCUCUGAAACCCUGAGCCCCCAAAAUAAACAUUUGCUCAUCUACAA